GUUAGUCGGGUCCUAAGGCGAGGCCGACAGGCGUAGUCGAUGGAUGACCAGUUGAUAUUCUGGUACCGGUUUUUUCUUGUCCAGUGCUGACAAAGUUGUGCUAACCAACGCCGUGAUGGUGGUGAUUCCUUCGGGUUUUACCACCUAGUGGUCUUGGGGUCCCUUCUUGGGUAGGCAAGCGUGUUAACAGGGGUGACGCAGUAGGGUAGCUGAUGCUGGCCGGUGGUUGUGCCAGUCUAAGGUUGUGGCCCGCAUGCUAGGUAAAUCCGGUGUGCUGUCUUUAAUGACGUGGGUGAGGGCUGAUGGGACUGCCACUUAUAGUGGUGGUUAUUGGUGUGCCUGUGCUGUCUAGAAAAGCCUCGACGUUAGAGAAUGACCGCCCGUACCCUAAACCGACUCAGGUAGUUAGGUAGAGUAUACUAAGGCGUGCGAGUGAAUCAUGGUUAAGGAACUCGGCAAAAUGCCCCCGUAACUUCGGGAUAAGGGGGACCAGGCCCGGACAAGUACUGUUUUUCUGGUUUUUGUUUGGGUGUGGUCGCAGUGAUUUGGAAGAAGCGACUGUUUACUAAAAACAUAGGUGUGUGCGAAGCCCUAAGGCGAUGUAUACGCACUGACGCCUGCCCGGUGCUGGAAGGUUAAGCGGAAGGCUCAACCCCUUGUGGGGUGAAGGUUUGAAGUUAAGCCCCAGUAAACGGCGGUGGUAAC
rnacentral:ncRNA from 1 species